rnacentral:misc_RNA from 1 species
GGCGAGGCCGGAGAAAACCCUAGAUCCCCGCCAUUAAUAAAGUCCCUCAUCGCCGAGAUCCCGUGCUGUAUCUGUAUCGAUCUCUCCUGAUCUUGCAUCACAAAGAUCAAUUUGACAUCUGAUACCAUGGGCGCGUUUGCAUCGAGGUUGUGGUUCAUGAUGUUCCCGGCCAAGGAGUACAAGAUCGUCGUCGUUGGCCUCGACAACGCCGGCAAGACGACGACGCUCUA